GACUACAGAACAAGUAAUAUUGAAAAAGAAGAAAAACCAACAGGUAAUCAAAAGUAAAAUGGAAGGAACCUUUGCCUAUAGAAGACAGGAAGUUGUUGGAAGAUAUGCCCUUCAUAGCAGAGUUCAAAAACAGAUGGCCAGGCCUGUUUUCUGAGAGCCAGGUAAAGUAUUAUUCAUCAUCUCUAUUUAAUUUAAAUACGUGGAAUUAAUGUCUGAAUACUGUAUUUGGGUAUAAAACAAAUGAGCACAUAUUCAAUUGACAAAGGUUUGGAGGCAAUGUGUUAAGAAUCCAUGCAUGUGGUUGUUCUACUCUAUAUUACAAUGCACAUUACACAUCCAUAUAAAUUGGUUACAGAUACAUUGAACCACCAACUAAAAACAUUUAGCCAACAGCAAACUCAUGUUCCCUCUACACCAGGGGUGUCACACUCAAGUUUCAGAGAGGGCAAAAAUUAAGAAAUGGUACUGCGUGCCAAACAGUCUCAUAGUGCUGUCUUAAUAAUAUUAUUAUGAACACGCCAGCUCCACUUUUAAGGCAAACUGGAUAUAAUUGUACCACGGCCAGAUGUAGCCCACAGAGUUUGAGUUUGACAUGCCUUAUCUACACCAUAUGUGAUCAUUUAAAUAUAUUUGUUUUAACUUAAGAGACUCAUAGUGAAUUUGUGUUUUAAUACAGGUAAAUGCAGAAUUCACCCUCAUCACCACUAAACCCUUAUGUCCCGACUGGAUCAUUACUCUAGCCAGCUAUUGAGGGUAUUCAAAAAGAAGUGGGGAACAGCAAGACGUGAUAUCGACGUAAUCAUCGCAGAAAUGGACAUGAAUCCAAGUGUUGAAGUACGACGGACAUGCAUCCUAAAGGCGUUGUGCGUCUACUUGAUUGAAAAGCCUGACAGCCUUAUAAAGGACUACUGGGUAAGUCGCAUUCUUUGUCAAUCAUAAACAAAUUGAUACAGAAAAAUAUGUAUUUUUAUAUUUUCAUUUCACAAACCUGUGAACUGAAAUGUGUUGUAGGCUCAGAACAUGCAUGUUAUGCUAUUUUGAUUUUUGCCAAUGUUGACAAUAUCAAAUUUUCAAAAACAAAUAUGAUGAUUGAUCAACCAAAAACAUAAUGGACAACAAUUUCUACAUUAAUGUAUAACAUUUUGUAAAGUUAAGCCAAAGAAAAAAAAAUCUGUCUUAUUUAAACACAGGCAAAAUAAUAAGCAAAUAUACUUCUUGUGAAUGUGUUCUCUAAUUGUAAACUUAACAUCUUUUGGGUUUGUUUCUAGUGUCAUAGAUGCAUAAUUAAUAAUGGGUCUCUUUCUUUGUCAUAGGCUACUG
rnacentral:lncRNA from 1 species